rnacentral:ncRNA from 2 species
ACAUCAUGCUAGGGGUGCUUAGGAAACUAAGCUGAGAUCAAACCCUUAACACCUGAGUCUGGAUAAUACCAGCGGAGGGAAGCUGUUUAUUGAGGAA